GAGGGUACGGCUCAGUGGUAGAGUGUGAGCCUAGCAUGCAUGAUGGUCCUGGGUUCAAUCCCCAGUCCCUCCA
rnacentral:tRNA from 1 species